AUAUUUAAGUUGCUGCAGUUAAAAAGCUCGUAGUUGGAUUUCGGAUGGGUUCCGUCGGUCCGCCGUUUCGGUGUGCACUGACGGCGCCUAUCUUGCUGUCGGGGACGGGCUCCUGGGCUUUACUGUCCGGGACUCGGAGUCGACGAGGUUACUUUGAGUAAAUUAGAGUGUUCAAAGCAGGCCUACGCUCUGAAUACAUUAGCAUGGAAUAACACGAUAGGACUCUGGCCUAUCUUGUUGGUCUGUAGGACCGGAGUAAUGAUUAAGAGGGACAGUCGGGGGCAUUCGUAUUUCGUUGUCA
rnacentral:rRNA from 1 species